rnacentral:rRNA from 1 species
GAUGAACGCUGGCGGCGUGCCUAAUACAUGCAAGUCGAGCGAACGGGCGAGAAGCUUGCUUCUCUGAUGUUAGCGGCGGACGGGUGAGUAACACGUGGAUAACCUACCUAUAAGACUGGGAUAACUUCGGGAAACCGGAGCUAAUACCGGAUGAUAUUUUGAACCGCAUGGUUCAAAAGUGAAAGACGGUCUUGCUGUCACUUAUAGAUGGAUCCGCGCUGCAUUAGCUAGUUGGUAAGGUAACGGCUUACCAAGGCAACGAUGCAUAGCCGACCCGAGAGGGUGAUCGGCCACACUGGAACUGAGACACGGUCCAGACUCCUACGGGAGGCAGCAGUAGGGAAUCUUCCGCAAUGGGCGAAAGCCUGACGGAGCAACGCCGCGUGAGUGAUGAAGGUCUUCGGAUCGUAAAACUCUGUUAUUAGGGAAGAACAUAUGUGUAAGUAACUGUGCACAUCUUGACGGUACCUAAUCAGAAAGCCACGGCUAACUACGUG